GUUGAAUCCCGGCACUGAAGU
rnacentral:piRNA from 1 species